CAACAAGGCAACAGGCAGUGCAGAUUAACAUCUUCACAGCUGUUCUUAGUGCACUAAAGGGUUUGGCAGAAAAUAAAAGACGUUUGAAAGAUGCUCGAGUCAGGGCAGCUGCUAAUAAUUUGAUAAUGAGUGCACUGACAAAUCAAAACCCAAUCCUGAGAUGUGCAGCUGGAGAGGCUCUAGGACGAAUGGAAC